CUUUCAAUCCCUUUUGGGAUUCAUC
rnacentral:other from 18 species